ACUGGGCACGGUGGCACAUGCCUGUAGUCCCAGCUACUUGGGAGGCUGAGGUGGGAGUGUUGCUUGAACGCAGGAAUUCCGGGCUGUAGUGCACUAUGCCGAUCGGGUGUCUGCACUAAGUUCGGCAUCAUGAUGACCUCCCAGGAGCAGGGGACCAUCAGGUUGCCUAAGGAGGGGUGAACCGGCCGAGGUCGGAAAUGGAUCAGGUCAAAACGCUCGUGCUGAUAAGUAGUGGGAUCGCGCCUGUGAAUAGCCACUGCACUCCAGCCUGGGCAAGAAUGAGACCCCGUCUCU
rnacentral:SRP_RNA from 1 species